rnacentral:rRNA from 1 species
UGUCCAGACUCCUACGGGAGGCAGCAGUGAGGAAUAUUGGUCAAUGGGCGAGAGCCUGAACCAGCCAAGUCGCGUGAGGGAAGACGGUCCUAUGGAUUGUAAACCUCUUUUGCCGGGGAGCAAAAAGCGGUACGUGUACCGCAUCGAGAGUACCCGGAGAAAAAGCAUCGGCUAACUCCGUGCCAGCAGCCGCGGUAAUACGGAGGAUGCGAGCGUUAUCCGGAUUUAUUGGGUUUAAAGGGUGCGCAGGCGGUGAUUUAAGUCAGGGGAAAAAUUUGGGGGCCCAACCCCGACAAGCCGUUGAAACUGGCGUUCUUGAGUGAGCGAGAAGUAUGCGGAAUGCGUGGUGUAGCGGUGAAAUGCAUAGAUAUCACGCAGAACCCCGAUUGCGAAGGCAGCAUGCCGGCUUCCUACUGACGCUGAAGCACGAAAGCGUGGGGAUCGAACAGGAUUAGAUACCCGCGUAA